rnacentral:snoRNA from 1 species
CUGCAGCCAAUUAAGCCAACUGUGCUCUCUGUCCAUGGGGGCCCAGUGUGCCAUGGCUGCAAACAGUAGCCUCCUUGGUAGUGUAUGCAACCUGUUGAUUGUAUGGGUUGCCCUAAGGGACCUUGGAGACAGCC